rnacentral:rRNA from 1 species
ACAUGCAGUCGUACGGCAGUCACACAGAGAGCUUGCUCUCUGGGUGGCGAGUGGCGGACGGGUGAGGAAUACAUCGGAAUCUACUUUUUCGUGGGGGAUAACGUAGGGAAACUUACGCUAAUACCGCAUACGACCUACGGGUGAAAGCAGGGGAUCUUCGGACCUUGCGCGAUUGAAUGAGCCGAUGUCGGAUUAGCUAGUUGGCGGGGUAAAGGCCCACCAAGGCGACGAUCCGUAGCUGGUCUGAGAGGAUGAUCAGCCACACUGGAACUGAGACACGGUCCAGACUCCUACGGGAGGCAGCAGUGGGGAAUAUUGGACAAUGGGCGCAAGCCUGAUCCAGCCAUACCGCGUGGGUGAAGAAGGCCUUCGGGUUGUAAAGCCCUUUUGUUGGGAAAGAAAUCCAGCUGGCUAAUACCCGGUUGGGAUGACGGUACCCAAAGAAUAAGC